ACAAUUAAAUAGUUUCAGGGUGCUUCUUUAAAAAGGAGUUAAAAGGGAAAGAGGUGUAAAUCCUCUACAGCCCCCGCUACUGUAAACAGGGAUGAAAUCUUCUAUAAUCCACUAGGAAACUGGGAAGGAGAAGAGAGUAAAGUGAACUGUAAGUCAGGAAACCUGCCAUGAAACGAGGUAACAA
rnacentral:ncRNA from 2 species